GUUCAUUGCAUAAACCAAAUAAUCAUUCUGUUUUUGUUUGUCAACGUCUAUGGAAUUUUCCCUUGUCUAGGUCUACUCUGUCAAGAAAUAUGUUUUAUUAAAAUCCAAGUGCUUUUUGACCAAUCAGAUUAGAAUUUAGGAUUAGGUUAGGCCAAUCUUUUUACAUACUACAGUUUAAAGUUAGACUUUAGCAAAGAAUUUUCUUUUCUUUUCUUUU
rnacentral:misc_RNA from 1 species